UAGCAGAGGGUGCGAGCGUUGUCCGGAAUCACUGGGCGUAAAGGGCGCGUAGGUGGCGCCCCAAGUCUGUGGUGAAAGCUCGAUGCUCAACAUCGAGUCGGCCACGGAAACUGGGGGGCUGGAGCACUGUAGAGGCUAAUGGAAUUCCGGGUGUAGCGGUGGAAUGCGUAGAGAUCCGGAAGAACACCGGUGGCGAGGCGGUUAGCUGGGCAGUUGCUGACACUGAGGCGCGACAGCG
rnacentral:rRNA from 1 species